rnacentral:rRNA from 1 species
UGGGGGGAGCAAGCGUUGUUCGGAUUUACUGGGCGUAAAGGGCGCGUAGGCGGCCAGCACAAGUCAGUUGUGAAAUCUCCGAGCUUAACUCGGAAAGGUCAACUGAUACUGUGCGGCUAGAGUGCGGAAGGGGCAACUGGAAUUCUUGGUGUAGCGGUGAAAUGCGUAGAUAUCAAGAGGAACACCUGCGGCGAAGGCGGGUUGCUGGGCCGACACUGACGCUGAGGCGCGAAAGCCAGGGGAGCGAACGGGAUUAGAUACCCCGGUAGUCCUGGCCUUAAACGAUGAAUGCUUGGUGUCUGGGGUUAUAAAGUCCCCGGGUGCCGUCGCUAACGCUUUAAGCAUUCCGCCUGGGGAGUACGGUCGCAAGACUG